CGGCUUUAGAGGCAAUCAGGAGGUCUGCACCAUGGCUGGAAAGCAGGGAAGGAGGAGAGGAGAGAGGAGAGAGGACCCUACGCCCAUGCCGACUUUACGUCGCCCCCUUCAGAACGGUGACUCCCUCAGCGGGCCAAUGAGCUGGAGACCCAAAACCAGCUGCCAUGAUGCCCGUCCCCUUUUCUGCGCCCCCUCGAGGUUACGGUGACUUGAAACGUCUCCAUUGGGCAAGAAGUUGGACGAGGCCGCCAAACAAACCCCCGCUGAAUGCACGCAAAGCCGAAGGAAGCCAGCUCAGGAAGUACAGCCUUCCUCGGGAGCUGCUGGUUCCAUCUUCCAUCCCUGUGUUGUUUGGAUCGGCCACUAGACAGGAGGCACAGGACCGGGACAGACGACUACGGACUGUCUGCAGAGAGAAUCAUUGAUUCCAGUCUGCCCUCCAUCCUGGACUCCAGUCAGGAAAUAUCACUGGAGACCUUCAGACGACCCGUUUCAUCUCAGAGCACCGUACGCCAAAACCAAUGUUUACACCUGCACCUAUUCUUUUUUUGUGCUGUCCUUGUUAUCGUUUUUGUAAAAAAGGGACUGUACAUACAGUAUGUGGAGAGCAAAAGAUAAGCAUGCAUAAGCACAGGUGGCCAACACAACAGUUUCUGAUGAAGCCGAAUGCUGGAAGAAUGUCUCCACCAUGACAGAGAGAAAAUAAUGAAACAAAAUAAACAGAUUGAUUGAGUGCCUGUCGAAAAGUCCACGCUGAGUGCAUUUUAAUGGCCAAUAUUUUCGAGAAAAAAAGAACACAUUCAGAAGAGGCAAAAGAGUCACCGUAGCGAAGGCCCGGCACUAAGAGAUGAUGACCAUAUUGCCGCAGAGUUAUUUAUCUCAAAGUUAAGACUGCAGACUUUCAGUUUUACAUUGUACUGCAAACACAAAAAAACUCUUUUCGCUUUUCAGCAGUAACACAUCUGAACAGCAUCAGUUAUUUCCAUCAUGAUAUUCAAAGCAUUUCUCAUAUCAUAUCCAAUUUGCCAUAUUGCCAUUGGAACUAACAGACACACUCUUACGAACGGUUCAAAAAGCAACACUUAGUCAGUAGCCCUAAGCGUCAAACUGUGACCCAUCUGUGUCAGAUGUGGCAAUGUAAUAUUCUAUUCCCUUCAUGCCCAACGCAUUUUCUAAAUAAACCAUCUUCACAGGAAGCUGGGUUGCGGCAAUAAAACAACUUAGUUAUGUUAAGGAUUUGAUUCCCGUCGACGUUGACUUGACUGAGCAGCGACUCGCGUCACGUGACUCAAGACUGACGGGACAAAAAACGGCAAAACUCCUUUUGUUUUGCACACGACACAAACAGUCCACCUCUCUGUACUACGCAGUGUCAUCUAUGAGGACAUGGAUGAGUUCACACAGACGUUCGAUCAAAGCCCCGCGUGGUGGCAUCACACGCAGAAGGGCUAUCUGUCGGUUUAUUUGACGCGGCGGAAGUGGGACCAGGUUGAAAUGAGCCUGUGUUUUGGAUCCAUUUUCAGUGGUCAGCUGCACGCAGCCAUUAUUUUUUUGAGACACAGCAAUGGUGUGGGGCUACACGGUGACAUCCCGGACCCUCACAGGUAGAAGAAAGUUUAAGUGCACGACAGCAGAGUGUGAUGAAAAAAAACCCCUUUUGGACUCUUAAGAGGCAGAGGAGGUAAACAAGACAAGCUCAGAGUGGCACUUUCAUCGCUCUUCUCUCCUAAUUGGAUCCUCUGCACACAUUCCCAUCGGAGGAUCUGCAUCUCCUCAUGCACACACGCCACAUUUACCUUCCCCGCACACAGCACAUUUGCCUUUAUGUGUUUACUGCAUCUCUGUAUAAUGACAGCCGGAGCUUUGCCCUCACAUUUAUUUGCAUUUCCUCUCAACCCACCAAGUGUCUGAGGCUGCUCCUUACACAUCAAAAGAAGCACCGGGAGGAAGAGACGUGGUUCCAUCUAAAUGAAAAUAAACCCUCAAAAACGGUGUUACAGACACUGCGCAGUAGGGCCAUUAGUGGCAUGCCCGAGACUCACAUCAAGGGAGAGCCGAAAAACACCAGGCAGAAAGUGCAAUUACUGCACAUCAAACAGGGUUACAAUCAACGCUGGCUGUUAAGAGAUUAGCGGUCAAAUUUUUAGUCAAACUUGUAGCUCUGUCUAUGUUCUUUUUGUCUUUAUCUUUUAACUUGGUGAUUAACACUUUUUAAAAUAGUUUUAUAUAUGCGGUUAUAUGGCAUUAUAAUGCAACCAACAGUAUAUCAUAUAAUAAUUGUCCAAUAAUGAUUGAUUGUCCGUAAUAGCCAGGCAAAAGGAAUUAAAUUCCUUUCCCUCAAUUCCUUAAAUGAUUUGAGAAGUCAUAAAACAUAUUGUCUGAGAUUGUUGAACCUUUUUUCCCCUUCCUUUUAGGGCAUUUAGGUAGGAGUUUUACUGAUAUUAGACAGAAGCAUCAUUUUCCAUUUAAAUGAAACAAAUUUCAAAUGCAGAAAUCGGAGGACCAACUGCUGUUUAACAGCCUCGUCAGCCAAAAUAAUCGUUAUUUGAGAAUGAAUGGUUCAUGCGCAGCCAUUUGAGCCGAGGGGCGCCCAGAGAAAACGAACAAACUCUCUCUGCGUUCCGGCUUGCCAUUUCGUUAUUUAAAGGCAUAGCUGAAAAAGCCACACAGCUUCGUAUCCAUGCGGUAAACUGUUGGCGGUGGCUUCAGUGGGCCCCAGAAGAGAGUGAUGUCCCGUAAUAAUAAAUACAAAUCUGUCAACUUCCAGUCCCCAUUCACAUCCCUGAUCAUUAAGCCUGCUGUAAUCACAACUCUGGAACUCAUUAAAUUCCUCUGUGCGGCUCACUGGGAAGAAAGACAGCCAAUGCCUCUAAAGAGAGCGCUUUCUGAAUCACUGCGCUCUGCUUUUAUUUCUCUGUGAUAGCAUAAUAUCACCAUAAACAACGGACUCGUAUUCCUCUCAACAGCGACUGCCAAUAUUACACCACUAACGUAUUAGCCUCGGAGAAAAACGGCGAUCAAAAUGCCAGUUCUUUGCAAAUCACAUUCACUGAAGUCUGACACGAUUUAGAUCCCUGAUCCACUUUCCAUGAUUCCACGGCUGCUGCGACAUGGUUAGCACGCAAAAGCCGCAGCUGAAAAAAGUCCAGCAAAUGCAACAUUUGCUAAAAACUACAGCAGAGAAGUUCUUUUUUAAAUUUCUCGUAAAGAAUAAAUAAACUAUAUAAUGACGUCUUUUCAAAAUAAUCCUAUUCAUGAUCCUAACAACAAGGUGUUAACACGCACAUAGAUCAUGUAAUUCCUCCCUUUUCAACAGACAUGCACCGCUGUAAUAUCAGCAGUUAGUGGGUUUGUCAGGACAAAAAGAUUUGUCAUUUCUUUGAAUGGCAGAAGUAGCUAACAACAACAUCAUUACUGGUGUGAGUGACAGAGGAAAGCAAAUGUCUGACGAUUAAAAAAAAAAAAAAGGAUACCUUCCUGGAGCUUCUACAGCAACCCUGUAGUCCUGGAAGCUCUUACUUGGGUGGAAGUUGAAGAUAAAGACCACGUGUCCCCUGUCAAACACAAUGACCUUGUCCUCUCCAUGCUUGGCGCUGACAAAGCCCUGAAGGGAGAAAAAGAUAGAGGGAGAACAAGCUAAUGAAAUAUUUCCUCAUGAAUAGUCAUUACCUUUCUCAUCUUGGAUUUAGAGAGUUCUAAUGGGACACAUUAUAUCAGUGAGCUACACAUUUCCAAAUAGGGCAACGUUCCCGCACCGCGUUUCAGGUGGCACUCAUCAGCAGAAAGCACCGGGCCAGGAUGGUGCGAGGGACGCGCUGACGGCUUUAGACAGCUGCACAUUAAAAAGUCACCACUCUCCUGCGGAGCGCGCCACUGUUAACGCGUCAUUAGCAGAGAUUAUCAAUGUCACCCAACCCCCUAUUUUUAGUGUCUUGUUCGCCAAAGCCAAUUUCAGGGCAGCAUAUGCACGGCUGAACGAGAAGAUAAGCAUCCCUGCUGCUGGACCGGCUGAAAGGAUGGAGGUUAUGGGGUGAGGAGACGAGGAGUGAGUCCAUUUUUAACGGGAGAAGCCCUGCGGAGAAGAACUGCUUCGACGUCAGAAAAACAACAACAACCUGCAUCCGUGCUGCUAGGACCUGAUGAACAAGUACUGUUGACUUUCUCAAAUAAAUGAAUGUAAAACUUAA